UAAUAGGAAAUUAAGAGUAUAUGGCGGAUGCCUAGACUAAAAAAGGCGAUGAAAGACGUAGCAUGGCGGCGAUACGUUUCGGGGAGGUGCCUAGCAACCUUUGAUCCGGAAAUUUCUGAAUGGGGAAACCCCUCUAAGUAACCCUUAGAGACACUUGCGCUUGACGUAAGUGAGCAUACCAAGGGAAGUAAAACAUUUCAGUACCUUGAGGAAAAGAGAAAAAUAUUUAUUUUCUGAGUAGCGGCGAGCGAAAAGGAAAGAGCCCAAACCCGCACACUUACUUUGCCAUUGUUUUUUUUGUUCUGUUUUAAUUGUAUUACUAAAAAUAAUAUUGUUAAUUUAGAAUAAUAAAAUAAUGAAAUUUUGUUUUGAAAAAACAGAACGAUGGUAAAGUAAGUGUGCGGGGGUUGUAAGGUGACAAUGUAGAUUUAUCUAGAGAAGUUACAAAGUAUGUUAUUAGAUUAAACUUCUGGAAAGGAGUGCCGUAGACGGUGAUAGCCCGGUGAUCGAAAAUUUCAUACCUUCUUGAUUGUCAUUCUUGAGUAACUCAAGACAUGAAUAGCUUGAGCGAAUCCACCAGAACUAACUGGUAAGGCUAAAUACUUUUUUAGAUCGAUAGUGAACUAGUACCGUGAGGGAAAGGUGAAAAGAACCCCGAUGAGGGGAGUGAAAUAGACCUGAAACCAUAUACUUACAAGGAGUCGGAGCGGACGUAUUUAUACGAUCCGUCACGGCGUGCCUAUUGAAGAAUGAGCCAACGAGUUUAUCUAUGCUGCAGGCUAAGCUGUUAGAACAGUGGAGCCUUAGGGAAACCGAGUGUUAAUAGCGCGAACAAUUAAUGUAGUCUAGAUAAGACCCGAAGCGAGGUGAGCUUGCCAUGAGCAGGAUGAAGUUUGUCGAAAGAUAGAUGGAGGUCCGAACCGGUGACCCGUGCAAUAGUCUCGGAUGACUUGUGGUAAGGAGUGAAAAGCUAAUCGAACCUCGUAAUAGCUGGUUCUCUCCGAAAUAGCUUUAGGGCUAGCGUUGUGUGUUCCUCUUGGGGGUAGAGCACUGGAAGAUUUCGACAGGGAGCAAUCUCGCGACAUCUAUCAAACUCCGAAUACCAAGAGCUAAAAGCACAGCAGUUAGGCUAUGGGGGCGAAGCUCCAUCAGCCAAAAGGGAAACAGCCCAGAUCUCUAAUUAAGGUCCCUAAAUAUAUACUAAGUGCGUAUGAAGGAGGUGAAAUUUCUCUGACAGUGAGGAUGUUGGCUUAGAAGCAGCCAUCAUUUAAAGAAAGCGUAACAGCUCACUCACUAAGAGAUUUCGCACCGAAAAUAAUCGGGGCUAAGUAUAUUACCGAAAUUGAGGGCUUCCAAUUUUUUAAAAUCGGGAGCGGUAGGAGAGUAUUCCACUCAGCGUCGAAGCCAAAGAGGUGACUCAUGGUGGAGCGUGUGGAAGUAAGAAUGUUGGCACAAGUAACCGCAAGGUAGGUGAGAUCCCUACCCGCCGAAAGAUCAAGGUUUCCUGGGCAAUGAUUAUCAUCCCAGGGUUAGUCGGUCCUAAGGGGAUGGCGAAAGCCGCACCCGAUGGGCACAUGGUUAAUAUUCCAUGACUUCUGUUGUAUCCGAUGAUAGGACGGAGUGUAGUAUAUAAAGCUCAUUAUUGGAUUUGAGUAUGUUAGUAAGGAUGUCUCUUAGGAAAAUCCGGGAGAUGACGUAAAAGUAACAUCCAAGCAAAACUUAAAUAUAGGGGUUCGCCUCUGUAGAUUUUAUAAAGCACGCUUCCAAGAAAAGUAUCUAAGGUUAAUGCAAUAGAAUCCGUACCGCAAACCGACACAGGUGAUCAGGUCGAGUAGACCAAGGCGAACGAGUGAGAGGUCUUCAAGGAACUCGGCAAAAAAGCAGCCGUAACUUUGGAAUAAGGCUUGCCAUUCUUAAUUUAUUAAGUUUGGCCGCAGCGAAAGUAUCUCUGGCAACUGUUUAUCAAAAACACAGCUCCCUGCGAACUCGCAAGAGGAUGUAUAGGGGGUGACACCUGACCAAUGCCAGAAGGUCAAAU
rfam:Parcubacteria (Nomurabacteria) bacterium GW2011_GWF2_36_19 TS08_C0003, whole genome shotgun sequence.